AUUGAACGCUGGCGGCAGGCCUAACACAUGCAAGUCGAACGGUAACAGGAAGCAGCUUGCUGAUUUGCUGACGAGUGGCGGACGGGUGAGUAAUGUCUGGGAAACUGCCUGAUGGAGGGGGAUAACUACUGGAAACGGUAGCUAAUACCGCAUAACGUCGCAAGACCAAAGAGGGGGACCUUCGGGCCUCUUGCCAUCGGAUGUGCCCAGAUGGGAUUAGCUAGUAGGUGGGGUAACGGCUCACCUAGGCGACGAUCCCUAGCUGGUCUGAGAGGAUGACCAGCCACACUGGAACUGAGACACGGUCCAGACUCCUACGGGAGGCAGCAGUGGGGAAUAUUGCACAAUGGGCGCAAGCCUGAUGCAGCCAUGCCGCGUGUAUGAAGAAGGCCUUCGGGUUGUAAAGUACUUUCAGCGGGGAGGAAGGGAGUAAAGUUAAUACCUUUGCUCAUUGACGUUACCCGCAGAAGAAGCACCGGCUAACUCCGUG
rnacentral:rRNA from 1 species